rnacentral:lncRNA from 1 species
UUUCUUUCUCUGUAUUUUUAAUAGACAUCUCGAGUUGAGAUGACUGUCAGCACUUUAUUCUGGUCCAGGCAGUGCUGGAGUCCUCUCUACCCAUGGAUUUCUACUCCUCCAGAAAGAGGAAUGGCAGGAAGUCUGGACAGCCCCAACAGGCCCCUCCAAGAUCUUGUCCAUGAUGCCAGAAAACUACAGUGUACGCUAAAUACAUUUCAAGGUCUUUUAGGUACUUUAAAAUCAACCCAAUUUCAGCCUAAAUUUCUAGGCUUUCCACUUUAGUUAUGGCAAAACUGGAAUUCUAUUACAA